rnacentral:rRNA from 1 species
AGAGUUUGAUCCUGGCUCAGGAUGAACGCUAGCUACAGGCUUAACACAUGCAAGUCGAGGGGCAGCAUGACCUAGCAAUAGGUUGAUGGCGACCGGCGCACGGGUGAGUAACACGUAUCCAACCUACCGGUUAUUCCGGGAUAGCCUUUCGAAAGAAAGAUUAAUACCGGAUAGUAUAGCGAGAAGGCAUCUUCUUGUUAUUAAAGAAUUUCGAUAACCGAUGGGGAUGCGUUCCAUUAGUUUGUUGGCGGGGUAACGGCCCACCAAGACAUCGAUGGAUAGGGGUUCUGAGAGGAAGGUCCCCCACAUUGGAACUGAGACACGGUCCAAACUCCUACGGGAGGCAGCAGUGAGGAAUAUUGGUCAAUGGACGAGAGUCUGAACCAGCCAAGUAGCGUGAAAGGAUGACUGCCCUAUGGGUUGUAAACUUCUUUUAUAUGGGAAUAAAGUGAGCCACGUGUGGCUUUUUGUAUGUACCAUACGAAUAAGGAUCGGCUAACUCCGUGCCAGCAGCUGC